CUGUGAUUAAAAGGGGCCAGGUGUGGGCCUCGAGGUUGUUGGCAAGCUGUAUUUCUUUUAGUGGAAGACAGUCUCAGGCGUUCUUUGUGGUAUGUCAGCGAGUUGUGCCCGUCUGUGAGGUCCUGAGAUCUCCGUCUAUCACAGUGUCACAAUUACAUGCGAGUGUGUGUGCAUGUGUGGGCGCUCAGGACUUGGAGGCCGACUUGCCUUUCUGGACCACGGCGGGACAGGUACAGCACAGUCUCAGCCUUCGAUCUGGUGACUUCUCCCAGCACUCAGCACCCACGGAUCCUACCAAGGAAAGUAAAUGACUUCCUCAUGUCCUUGGAAAGGUCCCUAGUCCGUUAACCUACCUCCUCUCUCACAAGCCACAGCAAGUCUCAGGGGUACACAUUGCAGCGUGGGGCACGUUCCUGAGAGACUGGCCCGAGAUAGGCAACCACAUCUUCCCGAGCCCUUUUGCCAACUCCUCUAUGGGAGCACCUCUCCCAUUGUGCCUUCGGGCACAACCCGUCAUUGGACCAGAGGGUUUAGGAACUCCUCAAGAGGGAGUAUUUCUGGAGAUCUCCCGGGGAAAGGUUCUGUUUCAGGACCUACAUAGGUACAUACUGAAUCCCCAUAUACGCCAUGCUGUGUACCGAGCUAUAUUUUAUGAUUAUAUACGGGAAACUGGUGAUGCAUUUAGAAAGGAGAUAGGAGACAGAUGUAGGAUCUGUGCUGCUAAAAUGAGCACGUGGUAUGAGACAUAGGAAAGUGAAAAAAAUCAGGACUGGUUGAUUUAUUAAUUAGCAUGGAGAAAUGACCGCAGACGAAAGCAGUAAAGCUGUGGAACCAACAAUCGGAGACCUAGGUAGUGUGUUGUAAGAUGCGGAUUAUGUGCUCCGAACGGUGUUUAGAAACUACAGAUUUAUAUGGGCUACAUUGGGAUGGGAAGGCUCCAGGCAGCAGGAAAGGGCUUUGCGUGAACUCAACGAAUAUUCCGUCAGCCGAGUGAGCUGGUUCUUACUGGCACACUCAUGUACCCGAGGAGAAAAUUGAAGCACAAAAAUCAUCUGAAGUUACCCAGCUGAUAGGAGGAAGAGCUGGUGUAUGAAUCCCAGCAGCAAAGGUGCAGCCCACAAAGGCAACCACUGGCCGUAAUGCACAGCAGAUAAGGAGUGAUUGCUAGUGCUUCCCGCACAGGUAGAAGCAGCCCAGGGCAUUGGCCUGGGAUUGAGUGUGAAUGGGACAGGAACGGUUGGUGACCCGAGGACGAGGGAGACAGGGAGACGUAGGCGAUUUGAGAAACAGGACGUGUGUGUUACAGGUUCUCACACGCCAGGCAUUGAAAGGAUCCAGCAUGUGUCCAUGCACAGAACCAGUCAGAGGGACAAGCCUUAGAGACGAGUGUUGAAGGGGUUGGCAGAUCCUGGGACGGCAUUUACAUCAACAGCUCCAGGCUAUCUUCCUGUCUCCCCUCAUGUGGAUUAACUGUCCCAAACCAUCCCUUCACUGGUUGCCGGACAAAGCCUGCAGCCACUCUGUUGCCCUCUAGAUCUUUGUUAACCUGUUACCCCCAACCCAGCUCAACCACAAGCUCUCACUGAGUUUGUAAAUGAGCAGCAGCCAGACUCCGUGGAUAAGACACCCAUCUGGGCCAACGGCUGUGUCCUUAACACUGCCCAACUAUCAGGCUGUCUGCUUCUGGUGUCUUCCUUUCAUCCCCCGUAGUUUGGAAGUCAUUUUACUUUAUUUGGUUUUGCUGUUGCUCCAGAGUUCUAUUUGAGGCCUAUGAAGCCAUCUGUGACAGCUGCAGCUAGCCGCGAUAGUCCCAAUUUAUUAGUCAGCAUUCUGCAGACAACAGAACCAAUGGGAAUAUAUUAUGAAGACUUUGGUUCAUACAUGUAUGGAGGCCGAGAAGUCCCGCGAUCUCCUGUCUACAAGCUGGAACGCCAGGAAAGACAGUGGGGUAACUCAGUCUGAGAAUGAAGGCCUGAGAACCUUCAAACCAGGGGAGUCAAUGAUACGAAUGCCAGUCUAAGAGCAGGAAAAGUGGGGCACCUGGCUGGCUCGGUCACUAGGGCAUGACUCUUGAUCUCAGGGCCAUGAGGUCAAGCCGCACAGUGGGUGUGGAGCCUACUUAGAAAAGAAAUAGGAGCAGGAGGAGAUGAGAUGAAAUGUCCCGCCUCAAGUAGUGAGGCAGAAGGAAAGGGGACCAUUCUUCCUUCCUGUGCCUUUUGGUAUAUUCUGGCCCUCGGUGCCUGGGAUAAUGCUCACUCACAGUGGGCAAGGCAAACUACUUUCCUGAGUGACCGAUUCGAAUGCAAACCUCAUGCAGAAACAGCCUCCCAGACACAACCAGAAAUAAUGUUUAACUCGGGCAUCCACGGACGGUCCAGUUGACACCGAAAAUUAACCAUCGCAGUAGUUAGGGCAACCUCGCAAACCAUUGCGUGACAAUGUUUACACAAUAAAGCCUCGCAACACCCCCGACCCGCCUGACAAACGGGGGAAGGAUAGUGCCGGCACGAGAGGGUCUUUGCCAGGGGUGAUGUGCACUCUGUGAAGAUGGGAGGAGUAAGCUUGGAAGGCUUCCUGGAGGAGGACGCAUUUAGCUAGGUCAGGAUAAACUAGGGGAGCCAGAUUUCCGAAGUGCGAGAUGACUGGAAACAAAGGAAAAGGUAUGUGCGAAGGUCUAACAAGGCGGGGGGGUCGGCCUUGAGGGACAGACACGGAUGUACAAAGACAAAAAUAUGAACAAAUAUUUGAGUGAUUUAUUUGGACCUGGAAGUAUGGCGGUUUCCACUCGUAGACCUACGAGAAUGGACAGUCUGCCUGUCAAUCACUGCAGGCCCUCCAAGCUGAUGUCUGAAGGCGGGGCCAUUGAAGGAUGGCAAGCACCCGGCAAUGAAGCCCUACCACGUGGUGAGCAGGCCGAUGACGGUUUGGAUUGUGCAAUGAGGCUUCCGUAGACCGUUCCCCUCAGUGAUGACGAAAUACGGCGGGUACUGUGGCUAUCUGGCGGGUACUGUGGCUAUAUGGCGGUUGACAAUGCUCCGAUCUCACAAGUGCUGCAUGAUUGGGUCCUCUGGCCCCACCAACCACUUUCAGAAAUUGCUCUGGAUGAGGGAAAGAGGAAGUUUGCCCCAUCCACUCGUGUGGUGAGUUUCCAAGUGACCUAAUUUUCCUGCAGCGGUCCCAAGCUGACCUUCCACAGGUAAGUCUCUUUGUAGAUUUGUACAAUCAUCACCUCCCUCAGGAUCUGUGAUGGGAACGUCCAGUUCCGGUCCGCCGGUGGGCCCGUAAUGAGAGGAGAGGACCCUGAACCGAUAGUCAAGACCAGCCGUACAGGUAAGAGCAACCUCAGGCUGUGUGAGGCCAGACGUGUUGGGUGAAUAGCACUUGUCUCCUGUCGGCUGUACCUGUCUUCCAGACGGUGUGGAAAUCCCAUCCCCGAGUCUCUAACAUGGGCGCUUCCCACAAGGUCGGGGUCACUGCCUAGACGCUACUUGUUAACUCCGUGGUAGAGACUCCAUGUCUUGAGUCAAUUUCCUCAAGGAGUCAGUGGCAUCUUUCUUCCAGACCUUCUUCGUGUUCCUCUGCUUACUGUUGCGUGCCACUGUUACACACGCGUUGGCUUUAUUAGAAUGCCAGAUGCCCAGAAAACCCUGAUCUUGAGCCUUUUUAUCCUUUUGGUAAUCGCUUUCUACUACCAUGCAGAAGCAGGAUGGACUGGAUGGGAUGGUCAGACACAAACUUCAGGAACUCCGAGAUUGUGGGAGCACUGCUCAGGUGCAUUUCUUCAGGUCUGAAUGUAACUUUUUAAAGUCAUGGAUCUGAAUUAAUUGAAAGCCAGGAGUCCCUAGGAGAGGUGAGAAAGAUGAGACCUGUACACCAAGUGGGUGCCAGAGGGUGACAGUCUCCCGGCCCACCCCCGCUGGGGUGGGUGGGCGGGCAUUUAUGUGGCAGCCGUCCUAGAAGCACAGGCUAACAGUUCAAGCAACACGUGGGUCAAUACUUCUUUGCAGGUUUCCCCUUCCGUACAUUCUAGCUAUUUUUUGGCUUUGCAGAUGUUGCCGAGACCGUGUCACCCAUCGUGUUUCGUUCACCAUAAGUUUCCAGUAUGUGAGUCUGAGAGACCCUCGGCCCUUUCUUCCUGUCAUCUCUGAGCCUCAGCUUCCACAUCUGCAAAAUGGAAAUGACACCUUGCUCUUGCUCUCAGGCGUGGUGUGAAAAUCAAGCGUGAUCGUCUUUAUGAAGUGCUCAGCACACAGGAGGGCCAGCAACCAUUCUCAGAGGGUCUUGGGCAUCUCUUUGGAAACGGACCUCUUUAACUCUGCUGUGAUGCCAGGAGGUAGCCCAGCAUCCCAGACCCUGCCUUUCUCUGAGCUGCAUUCUUUCCUGGCUGCCUUGGACGUCUGACAUUGAAGCUGAUGUCACUCAGCGUCAAGUUGGGGCUGGAGGGUGCUCGGUAACUGGCAGUGCCCAAAGGUCUCCUGUCUUUCCUUCUCUGUAUAAAGUUACUUCUUUUCUGGGCAGGGGUUAAUUUGGUGAAAAUCAGGUGAAGACUUUGACGGUUGGGUGUGAGAGUGUUCAGCAUAAAGACGAAUGGCUCUAAGGUGCAUUCAAAGACCCUCGGGACCUCUAGAGUCAGACACACCUCUGGUUCCUCUGUUGCUUUGUUCGCACCAGUUUUAUCCAGAAGGUGGCAUCGCAGAGCCUGAUGUGCACUCCGCAAAGUCCAAAGGAUCCACAUUUCUUUGUGGUUAGACACUCACGUAUGUAGCCUUUACACAGCAUGUUGACAUUUCAAAGACUUUUCAUGUAUCCCUAUACUUGGUUCAGUUACUUUCAAGCCGUGGGAGAUGGGGGUCAUUACGACUUCCUACCCAGUGAAAACCUGAGACCUGAGGUACUUAGAAAACUCUGUGCCCCAACACAUGUUCCUGCCCCAGGCGGUAGGUACAAAAGUGAACAAGAAUGGCUUGUUUGCUUGUGGAAAGCAGUUGUACAACUUAAUAACUGUGAUGCCUCUUCCUUCUUGCACACACACUUGUGCCCGCCCACUGCCCAUCAAAGUCAUGUUGGGUCAUUUCAUUGGGGGGAGGGAUGGGGAAGACGUAGAUGAAUGUUUUAUGGGUAAGUCUUCUGAGUACUGGCACUUCACAAAAUAAGUCCCAAGGUUGACGCUUCCAAAAGGGUGACUGUUUAAUUGGUGGCAUCUCAAACUCAGGACCCUGAGGGAAAGACAAGGUGACCCUCCCAAUUCAAGGCGGGGUCUGGCUUGGUGGCUCUUUCCCAGGAGUCCACUCUGGAGCCUGCCACAUCAGUUGCGUUAUGAGGCCUGUACUCAAUGAAUGUGUACUUCCCAGCGGGGAUGUUAAUGGGUUAUGAAUUCUUGGUGUGAAGUAUUUCAUGUCAAACCCUGUUAGCCUGAAGUGGAUUUUCAUUCCUCUUAUGUAUGUCGGUGACAGAAAGGGAAUGGAUAUCGAACACCUGAAGGUAAGGCCUUUGCACUUGUGCUGCCGAAGGAGCACGAGGUAAGGCCUUUGAAAUGGAGUGGAUUCGUUGUUACACUGGUUCCCUGUUAUAGGCGCACGUUUCCACGGAUGAGUGUUAUUUCAUUGGACACAUGUACCACAUUUUCUUUAUCCAUUUCUACUGUGGAUGGAUGCUCACAAGUCUCUCAUGUCUUACACGUUGAGAAUAAUACUGUAGUGAGGAUAUGGGAUGAGUAUGUGUCUUUGACAUAGUGGCUUCCUGUCGUUUAUAUAAACGCCCAGAUACGGGAUUGAUACAUCAUAUAGGAGCUCAAUUAU